GCUAGGGGACUGGGAUUUCUCUGAUUAAAUACUUAAUGUUAUCAGCACAUGGUCUAGGUGCAGGCAAACUACCAUGCAUUAGCCAGUCUGGCCCACUACCUGUUUUCAGGAAUAAAACUUUGUUGGAAUACAGUUACAUGCUUUGUUAAUAUACUGUGUAUGGUUACUUUCAUGCUACAUCAGAGUUCAAUAGAUGUGACAGAGACCACCUGGCCUGCAAAACCAGAAAUAUUUCCUAGCUGGCCCUUUAUAGGAAACAUUUACUGACCACGGACUUAUACUAUUGUUAUGCUAGCUC
rnacentral:lncRNA from 1 species